UAUAAUAAUAGUUAAUAACACUAUAGAAUGUUUAUACUCACCCAUCUUUAUUAUGCUGCACAAUUUGCUGCCUUUUACUUUUUAAUCUAAAAAUAUGAGUUUAAUAUUUGAAAGUCUUAAAUAGCAAAAUUUUCUUACUGUUUCUCAUCAUCCACCAUGGGAUCCAACACACAUAUAAUUGUAUAAGAGGGUUUCAUAUUGAAAAGUCCCACAAAUGACGAGAUUUCCAGAUGGUAUUUCUAAGAGGCUUUCUACCAGUAUCUGAGACGUGGUAGCAGGUGUAAGGGGCAGACAGUGACAGCCACCCUUCUUGACUCAGAUAUCCCAGCAUCCGCAUGUGUGCACCAGUGAAUAUGAAAAAGUAAAAGCCGUGAAAGACUUUCUAACCAUGACAUUCCAGCCGUAUCACCAUGUGAGCGUCACCCUCCUCUCAUAACCCAUGGUUUCUAUUUAGCAAAGAUUCUUUUUCUGAACUAAUUUAUUUCAAAAAUACAAACAAAAGCAAGUUAAAAAAAAACCCACAAAGCUAAUUUAUAACAACCCCAGAUAUUUUCAAAGUCUGUAAAGCCUUUAUCAUUAGUACACUGAGAAUCAUGGCCCACUUGGAACAGAUAGAGUGUGGAGUAAACUCCUGCAUAGGGAGCUGGGUCCAGACUCUCACACACACAUACACACACACACACACACACACUCUCUCUCUCUCUCUCUCUCUCUGUCUCUCAGACAUAAACACCCAUGUACACACACCUGACCCACAAACUAGAUCCAGAAAUAUAUUUCUUCCCAUUCCAAUGAAAAAGUUAUUUUUUUACUUAAGUGAACCCUGGAAUUUGUAGAUUUUAACUCAGUUAGUUUUACACAAAUCCCAAAGUCUCUAGGCCAAAUUUUCUGCAAGGAGAAGCAUUUUCUACUUAUAUAGAUAGAUUAUAUAUAUGUAUGUAUGUAUGUAUGUAUGUAUGUAUGUAUGUAUAGAGAGACAGAGAGAGAGAGAGAGAGGUAGGAUGGAUGGAUAGAUAGGUAGGUAGAUAGAUAUCUAAUAGAGCUAAUCAUAGUUAAAAUUUUAAAUUGAAAUUAGUUUUUUCAGGGAAAGGUAUGAAGGUCAAGACUUGCAAAAUUUUACCCAAAACCCCUUCUUUAUUGAACACUUUUGGCAUCUAUCUAAUUUCCUUGUAAGUGGUGUUUGCAAACACUUUUUCUACUUAUCCCUAAAAGUAGAAUCUAUUGUAACAGUUCCAAAACAUUUCUCAAAGCUAUUGUUUUAUACUCUUGUCCUUCUCAUCCCUGAGCACCUCAUUUCCCAAGCCUGGAUAACAGGUGCAGGUAAUCCACCACAGAGCUAGUAUUCAGGUGUACAAUUCCCUUGCUGGUAAGACUGACAUGAUUUUUUUCCAGAGCACCCUGACUCCAAGGGACAGGUUCCCUGGAGCAGCAGGGAUAGUGCUUCUAAAUAUCCUCUACACAUUUGCAGUGUAUAUGUGUAUGUCCACUCACUCACACAAGCCCCCUAAAGAGAAAAUCCUCUCUUUUAAACCUAUUUUGGAUUCCGCCUAGGUUUGUUUCUUUGGGGUGUUCUUACUGGGGCACCUACCUUGGGACACUUUUAACUCAUUUAAUUGAUUUCUUCCAACACCAGUCAUUAAAAUGUGGAAUGCAUCAGUUUCCUUGGCAGUGUUUCUGGGCGAGGGUGGGGGGUGGCAUUUGCACAGUUAUUUUUAAGGCUGGGCAAAUGAUGGAACUUAAGGAAUUGCAUUCAGGUAAAAUAUUAUUAUCAGAUGUUGAGGAGUACUAUGUUUUGUUUGAAGCAAUAAAAUAUCCUGUACGUAGGUGAAAAUAUGAAACUGAAAUUUGAUGUGUUAGGAUUUUGGUAAAAAUUUCAGUUAUCAUUAGAAAGGAACUGUUGAAGCUCUUCAAGAAUCGGUCUGUUCGCUGAAGUAGAGCAACAUGACAGCUUUUUCUCUUAAAAGAAACAAGCCUUGGCUGGUGGCUCACACCUGUAAUCCCAGCACUUUGGAAGACCAAGACAGGUAGAUCACCUGAGGUCAGGAGUUCGAGACCAGCCUGACCAUCAUAGUGAAACCCCAUCUUAACUAAAAAUGCAAAAAGUAGCCAGGUGUGGUGACACACGCCUGUAAUCCCAGCUACUUGCUGGGGGGGGCUGAAGCAGGAGAAAUGCUUGAACCUGGGAGGUGGAGAUUGGAGUGAGCAGAGAUCGCACCCUUGCACUCUAGCCUGGGCAACAAGAGUGAAACUCCGGCUCAAAAAAAAAGACAAAACCACAGAAGCAAGCCUUAUAGAUCUUCUUAGACAUGGAAUGAGGCUGCUCCAAUUCCUAUUGGUCUCCAGAGGGGUUAAGAAAAUUGAAAGGGCAAUUUCUUCUAAAUGUAUGAGUUUCAAACCAGGGUACCUGAUACAGAAGAUGAUAUGCAGUGUCACAGGAGAGAGAGAAGGUGCAUUUCCCGAGACACUGGAGCAUGUCUGGGAACAUCUGUGAGGGAAAGUUUGAGAAGUGUCCAUAUCAGUGAUGGCAAGAAGCCCACAGUCAUGGUCCAGUGAGAAAAAGUUGGCUGAAAUAUCAGAGUGGUGUGAAAUGAAUAAAGGGUAUUUUUAAUGCUUCUCAUGUAAAAUGCUUUUUCUACCCUGCUGUUUUUAUAACAUACUCAAUAAGUUUCACUGCUCUACAAAGCAGAUUAAUGUUCCUGUAUUAUUUUAUUUAUACACCGAGGGAAAGGAACUGGUCCCACAAGGACUGACAUUAAUUUGUAUCAAAUGAUAUUUUUCUUCAUCAUCAAAAUGUAUGCAAUUAAAUCUCCACUUCUCAAAUGUGAGAAAUACAUGAAAGAGUGUUGGAGCCAUGCAGAAGCUUCCAGCAAGAGAUAACAAUCAGUUGUACCAAUAAUGUUUGUAAAUCUUUUUUGAUUUCAAAAAUAUUUUUGUAUCUUGUUUAGCAGAAGACAACUUACAUGUCAGACAGCCUUUCCCAGCACAGCCUCACUUAAACUGAGCUGCCCUCAUUCUAUGAGUAGGCUAUCCUUCAUCCAAAUAUGGAGGUGCAGAUGUUUUAUUUCUUGAAACUGAAACUGUAAGUUUAAAGAGAAACCGGCCAUGUCCCAGUGCUGUGAGAUCAUAAGGAAGCCAUUUAACCUUUCCCGUGCCACUGUUUCCCAUGCCUCUGCAAAAGGAGGCCUCUUCCUUCUCUAAGACUUGGAGCUUUCUUGUGUGCUGGUAUUGAUAUUACCAGAGUAGAUGGGCUAGCGUGUGACUUGCCUCACUAAGCCUGUGAACUUGGUGCUUGCUGCGGCCCCAGGCAAGGCAGCUGAAGGGACACGGCCAUCAGCCACAGCCAGGUGUCACAUCAUCUCCAUCCUUGUCUUCUCACCUUUUCUAAGGUAUCCACUUUCAGCAAUCACUCAUCAGAUCAGAUGUGGGAAGAUGAGACUCUGGCCUUUCAAUACCCUAAAUUUUACUGGAACAGGAAGACAUGUGCUGGCCAGGGAGAGGAACCCAGGGUGGCAUCUGUGGUUGUGGCUCGUAUAUCUCGUGGACACAAGACAGCUGUUUAAAGUAGCAGACUCCUAAAUUAAGAUAUUCAAACAAGACUGUUCUUGCGAACAUCCACACAAUAAUUCAAACAAAACGAGGCGGGGCUCCUGCCUUCUAAGCUAGAACCAUGAGGCAGGCAAACUUGACUUCAUCCGCCCCUGGCGCACAGUAUGAGGACUCUGGGAAGGCCUUAUUUACUUAGCCCCCUUUUUCAGUUGUGGCUUAAUUUCCAAGAAUUUUUAUCCAGUCUUAGGUUCUCAUUGGACUUCCCCUAAUCAUUCAAGACAAAUAGUCACCUCCCCAGGAGAUAAUUACACCAUCUCCCGAGGCAGUGUUUAAUUGCUUUUACUGACAAGAAGUUACUCAAUGUCUAACCUUACCCCUUUUAGUGCAGAAAUCUAAAUCCCAUGGAUCUCUCAACAAUGUUUUACCACAUUCUUGAAAAUGAUCAGAUGUUCAAUGUACUGUUGUACCAGGGAGUCAGUUGCAUGUUAUUUGAGGGGGCCCUAUUUGUACACAACCCCAUAUCCACGUGGACACUCCAUUGAAAAAGACCCUGCUGCUCUGCUAUGAUUUCUAGGAUCUUUUCUCCGUGGGAGCUCUGUCAGGUUCCUGUCUUAUUUCCCAUUAUCACUGGGGUGCUAAUGGAUACCAUUGAGGGCUUCGAGACUGCUCGCCUCUCCAAAAGGGUUAAGGCAUCACCUUUCCUUCAUGGAAGGGGUGCAUGAGGAGCCACAUUGGGUUCCCACAGCUGUGCACCCACUACAGCUCCGGGUAACUCUGUUUCUUUAACACGUCGGGAGAUAUGUGUAGCUAGGAGGUUUGCUAGUAUUCGUUAAUUAAUAGAAAGAGAAACAGAAGCCACCAACCAGACUAAAAGCCUAUCUCAAUAUGACAUGGCUAAGUAAACUCACAAAUGAAAAAUCUUUCCCCUGAGGCUAUCAAUGACAUUUUAUGCAUGUAUUAUCUCUAUGGAAAUUCCUCUGUCCAACGAACAUAUGUUAAGCCUUUAUAUGCAAAGUAUUUUGAGGGAUAUAAAGAUUUCUGAAACACUGUCUCACGUUAGGAGAAUUUAUUCAAGUUAAUUCUAAGUCUCUGGGGACUAUGUGGGGGAAAAGAAAUGUUUAAAAGCAGUGCUGUGUUCAAGGAGGCAGUAAUGCCUGUGGCCUUUGGGUAAACUGAGCUGACCUAGAGAAAUGGUGUCUCUGAAGGGCCAUCAGUCUUCCCCAAGGGUUCUUCAGACAGCUGAUUCAGUGGCACUGUCAGAAAAGAGACUCCCGCCCUAUAGAGGCCAGUCUCAUAAAGAAGACUGGGGAGCCAGAGAAUUCUGAUUAGCAAUAGCUUGGCCUGACCAGGAAUAUUAGAGUGUCAAGGAAAGAGGAAACUCUCACUCUGUCAGUAAAAGGAGGUGCAAGGGAAGAAGAUGCAAUGAGUGUCCUCUUUGCCUCCCCACCUUUUAGAUUUCACAAGGUGCUACCCAUGGGCAAAUGUUCCUCACCCCACUGCUCAGGCAGAGAGAGGCCACAGCACUUGGCCAGCAGAAGUCAUCUUGCUGUGAAUUAGAAAGCACCCCUCCCUCAUGUGGGCACAGCACUCAGCAGAUUGUAAGGUCUGGGGAGGUGAGUGCCUGAUUUCCCAGUCCCUCUGACCUUAUAGGUGGAAUUGUUUGUGCAAAGCAGAAAUUACCCAAAUGUACACCAAAGAACUGACUCCGAGAUUAUACUUGGUGCUGCUGGGGCUCAAGACACUUCACCCCAAAAUAUGAUGGUAGGAGACCAGACCAUGCCAGCCCAGGAUGUCUUUGGCAUAUUUUGAGCUGGUUGGUCUGAGAAACUGCUGACACAGGAGUGGCUCUGAAUAGCUGUUCUUUUGUAAAAGAAAUCCAUAUCUAUAAAGCAAAACAAUUGUCAUAGGAAUCUCAUGAACCAGACAAGAUCUUAUCACAGGAGAUAAGAUUGGAGGUGAUACCUUACAGGGUAUUACCUGUCAUAGGGGAUGACAGGUUCUUCUGAGAGAUGUACUGAAACAACUUCUGCUACUCAUGAGGCUUUCUAUCUGAAUAACAAGACAGCCUUGCUUCAUCCUACAUUUCCUACCCUCACCUUUCCGUAACCUGUCACCACCUCCCAGCCAGAGGCCCCAAACCCCCAUUCCUUUCUGUAGCUCAGGGGUCCUAUAUAAACUCCAAUUACCUAGCACUUCUUUGAGCCUUAUAUUUUGAGGGACUCCCAUCCAUAGGCACAUAAUAAAUUUGUAUGUAUUUUAUCCUAUUGAUCUAUCAGUUUAUUUAAUAUCAACUAUAUAUUGAAUCUUCAGAGGAUUAAAAGUCUUUCCCCUACAGUGUUUGCAAAUGAAUGGAUGAGUAAAUGUAAAAUUAUAUCAUAGGGACUGCUCAAGUAGCAAUUACUGCAGCAUUGAGAUUUCAUUUACUUUAUUUGUAUUAAUUAUAGGUAUGUAUUUUUUUAAUAUUUCUAUUUUAUUUAAAGAUGUUAGCAGAGCUUCUCAUGGUUAUAGCAGGUAAAGAAGAAAGGCUUAACAAGACCGUACAACAAAAAAGAAGACAAUGGGAAAUUGUCACUUAAUAUUUUAGUUUGUGUCCAUUGUCAUAGCCUAGGUACUCUUCAAAGUGAGCUGGAAGCUAAUCGUUCAGUGCUCAUGUACAGUACGAGAAGCAACUGGAAUCUCUUGGACUUGGGUGUGUCUGAACGCAUGAGUUUCUACUGGAAGCUGGAGCCAGCCAUGCCAGGUUCACAAGAGCCAGCUAUGCACAUCUUUUUCCAGCUCCAGCUCAGCAACCUCACGUGGGCAGCUUGAAACUGACCAUGAUGACAGGAUUUAUAGAUCUGACUUUUUUUUAGAAAGGUUGGAAAAGAGCUGGUUUACCAGCCCACUAUUGUAUGUGAGUGAUCAUUUAAUUAUAUUCCAGUGGCGAUCUUCAGACAAUACAUAAUACUAAAUUGAUUAUAUAGACAGAUUUGGGUUACAGGCAACUUAAACCUGUCUUUCAGUUAAUCUUUUGUGGUAUAUUUGUUAUAUAUUUGAGACAUUGGUCUAAUUCGAUUUAAAACAUUUGAUACAUAUAUUAAUAACACUAAGAUAUUUGGUUGCUUAUCAAACAUUACUUUAAAUAAUUAUGUUUUAUUAUGUCUGUAGGCUCUUCUAUAGCAGAGUAGUAUGCAGAGCAUUUUUAGCAUUUAUAAUUAGAACAAACACCUAUUUCCAGAUUAACAUAGAAACAUUUCUGGUGCAAUGCAUUGAAUAGAAUAAUUUUUAAAAAUAGUAUAGCCUUCAACGAUCCCAAGUAUAGGGAUACUGAGUGCAGGCAGGUUCUCUUGUCUCUGUUCAUUUUUUCAUAUUUAGCCUCUGGGAACCUGCCUCUUAUGGACUUCUCAUAAACUAAACUUCUCCUCUCUUUGCUUUCUGAUGAUUUUCCCUUCUCUGGUUUUAGAAUAAAACAUCCCUUAAAUUCAUGCAACACCACAGGUCUUCUGCUCCCAGCUUUCCUGACCUAUUGGCCCUUUCAUUCCAGUAUUUAGAGGGCAGAGCUGAAAGCAGGGUGUUGGAGUGCAGGGAGAAGAGAUCAGAGCAGCCUACUCACUGGCAGGCCAGGCUCCACAAAGAAAGUCCUCAGGACCUGGGAGAGGUGAACCCUCAUCUCCAGGCCCAAGAACAGGACAGGUGACACUCCUAAACUUUCUGAGGCUUGCAAAUCUACAGAGAAAAUUCUUAGUGUAAGGCUUGUUCUCCUGUUUCAUAAGGGAUGGCUUUAUACUAUAUAUCUUUAUGGCCUCACCCGUCCAUCUCACACAGAACCCUACACACACACACACACACACACACACAUACACACUCAGAAAAUAAAUGAGUGUGUCUCUUCAGAAAUCUUAUUUUCACAUUAAGAGAUAAAAUAUCAUUUGCUUGGGUAGAGUGGAGUUAAGAACAAGCUACAACAAACAUAUCUGAUGUUUCAAAAUGUGUAAAAAAAUUUUAAAGUCUUAAAACCCAGCUGUAGAAUGUUACAUUGUUUCCUGUGAUCUCCUCCACCAGACGGAUGCAAGGACAGCAGCCAGCCCCCGCCCUCCUGACAGGCUCCAUCCUGCUUACACACCUAUUCAUUGGGAAGGAAAGCAGACGAGUAUCUCCCUCCAAACUCUUGUGAUUUCCUGCACUGAUAAUAGGUGAAGAUAUAAUUUUGAAAACUCUGAUCAUCAAGAUUCCUUUGGAGAAGUGUCUCUUCAUCUCCAGCUUCACCGUUCUUUGUUUAGUAUUUGAUAAAUGUAAUACCCUAUGCAAGCAGAUGAGGUUACAGUUGUUUGAGGAAAUUCAGCUCUGAAAAGCGUAAUCCCUCUGGAAUUCAAAACCUUCUAUUUAACCUAGUUUUGGUUUUAACUGUUGUUGAGUCUAAAGAUAGUUUUGAGCCUGGGCAGCAUAGUGAGUUCCUAUUUCUAAAAAAAAAAAAAAAAAUUUUUUUAAGUAUUAGCCGAGCAUGGGGGCAUGCACUUGUAGUUCUAGCUAUAUGGGAGACUGAGGCAGGAGGAUCACUUAAGCCUAGGAAUUCGAGACUACAGUGAGCUAUGGUCGUGACAUUGAACUCCAGCCUGGGUAACAAGAGUGAGACCCUGUCUCUGGAAUACUAAAAAAUAAAAUAUAGUUUUGAAAUAUCUUCCUAUAGGUGUACAAAACUAUUUUUUUUCUAUUUGUGAGCAUUUCAUUCAGAACACUUCAGCCCAAUAUUAUAUGGAGUCAUUUUUCAUUAGGUGCUGGAAACAUGUGACUAGACCACCCUAGGUGCUCAGGGAGUCCACAGUCUAGAUAAUCCAAUAUACGUUUGGAAGUCAUAGAUCUAUGCACAGAACACUGGUUUGUUUUCUUGUUUUUUCACAAAUAGAAAAUACUGAAAACAAGAGAUUUUUAUGUUAAAAAAUAUUUAAUCAAAAAAAUGAGAACUAUCUGGAUAGGCAUCCAUGUUUUAAAAAUCCAUGGAUUGAAUUGUGGUCACUUUUUCCCUCUUAUUUCCCAAGCAGUAUGGGAAAUGUGCUUCCUAAUCUCACUCUUGCUGAGAAGCUUUGCUCUGGUCACAGAUACUCUCCAUGUUUGAUGUGUUUCUCAGAUGGUACUUUGGAAACGGGUUUGCUUCUAUCUGUGUUCAAACAUUUUGCAAAAGAAGGAAAAAAAACAAGAGCAGGAAGGAGAAGAGGAGGAAUAGAGAAGGAUAAAAGGAAAACAUUUUCAGAUAAAUAUUUACUCUCCGUGAAAUUGGUUUCUAAAACAAUGUCACCUCAUUGAGCAAACGAGACAGGGGAAAGAUCUUUUUCACCAUACAAUAAAUGUUAGCACUGGGGACGUGGACGACGUAAUAAUGAUGGCCCUAUGAGCUGCCACACAGCUAGUUCCAUGGUGAAGUGUUCAUGGUAAUGACCGAAUGAGUUAUUUUGUGACUUUGUGUCUAAUGCAAAAUGACACCAUGGAAAGCACUGCAAUUUAUAUGAAUCACCAUUGUCUGUGAGCAGACUCAAGUGUGAAUCUACCGUGUCUCUUUUUCUGUCUCUGGAGAGACUCUUAAAUUUGUAAUAAGAGACUCAAAAUUAUCAAUUUAUAUAUAAAUUCUUCUCAGUAUGAUUGAUAAGAAACCAUACUGGUAUAUCAGUGGAUAUUGCCAAAAAGUUUUAUAAAAAUUUAGUUCUCUCCCAAUUUUGUAAUUGGUACAUGAAGCUGAUUUAUUAUGAGAAUUCCUGUCAAAAAUAUUAUCCUAGCAUAAAUCAUCUUAGUAUAAUAGAGAUGCUGGCUUCAGCCAUGUCUUUAUUCUGGAAAAAUAAAAUAGAAACUGAUAUUAAAGUAUGUACCAAUACAUAAUGCAUUCAGAGUUGUUUUUAAACAGCAAAGAUUUGUUUUUCUUGCGUGCAGGCUGGUGUUAUGAGCUGGACCUGUAAAGGGCUUCCAUUCGUUUUGUCCUGCAUAGCGUCCAAGAUAGAUAAAUACAUUUGAAAAUGCAAACGUGAAGUUAGCUCUCACUUUGACCUUUCCUCACACCUAGGUGUACAACCUCUGUCAUCGAAUGUUACCUAUUUCUUCACUGAUGAGGUGUCACUGGGCUUUUUGUUUGUGUCUGUGUGAUGGCAUUGAGGUAGAUGCGAAGUACCCUAAGUGGAACCUCCAUUCUCUACAGAAGUGCAAGCCACAUGAAUUGAAAGCCAUGUUCACAGAAAGGGCAAUGCUGCUGUCAUCUUUGCAUUACAUUUUCUAUUAUCCUUGGUCUGACUGUUUACUAGAAACACCAGUGUUCUGUAGCCUCCAGACAGUAAGAAUGUCUUCCGUCGUGUACUUCUCGAAGCUGUUGCGGUGCCCUGUAGGGCAUUCUAGCUGUUGCCCUAAAUUGAGAUGACAGUGUUGCUCAUAUUAAAUUGCCUUCUCGCUUGGCUUGGCGUGCUGGGAUCCAUAUCUAUUAAUGCAGGAGUGUCCAAAUGUCCUGCCAGGAAAGCAAUUUGUUCCUCAGUAGGGCGUCAGGGAAGCAGCUGGUCUAAGAAACCAUCAGAGGUGAUGUUCGGGGCAAGUUGUGUUUUUCUUGAUUUAAUGGAAAAUUCUCCUGAUCCAUCGCCUCUCUCGUCCCCACCACUUGUCAGCAAGGCAGCACAUAUCCGUCUUCCGUCCUCUCCUCUGCCUCCCUCACCUGCCAUCGGUCUCUUGUGAGGAGUCAGCCCUUCACACAGCCCAAGCCUUCGAAUAGACAUUCUGACAACAACAAACACUUUAUUAAUGGGUUUUUUAAUGCCCUGGGGAGGCAGCACAAUUUGGCAGCAUUCGGUUACAUAUCACAUUGAAAACCAACUCAGCUUUUUAAGAAACACCUCUCUCAGGAGAACAUUAUAGACACACACACACACACACACACACCCCACAGCAAUACUCACCAUCCACAUCCCUCCUGCCACCCCACUCAACCCCAACAGAGCUUUCUCUUGAAUGAAACUCAUAAAAUUCCAGAUUCUCAGUUUGUGUCUCUGUUCUGAUGGAGUACGUGUCUGAUGACUAAUACUCAGCCAGAAUGUCAAGAGCAAUGAUUGCUCAUCAAGUGCGUGUUCAUUGGGCAUCAAGUGCGUGUUCACUGUGUGCAAGGGAGGCUUGUCUGGAAGAGGCCUGAUGAGCAUGAAAUGCUCACCUCGGCUCUCACGGGAAUGCUGUCUGUGGCCCCAGUAAUCAAACUGAGAGGCCAGAUAAUCAAAGAUGAAAACAGACCUCCCGGAGGGGCCAAGGUGAAGACCAGCCAGCCACUCCCUGGCCUUCAGAGCUUGCCACAUCAGUAAUGUGUGUAACAAAGUGUUGCUAUCUUAACAUCAUGGGAAUAUUCAGGAUACUUUAAAAUGCAGCAGUGAUGCUGAUAUUAAGUGCACAGUUAGUGGGGAUCUCAUUUCUUUGAGGGCAGAGUUUAUUCAGGGCUUUGCUCAAAUAUGAAAAUGACACGUCUAAUAAGAAGAAAGCAAGCUUCCCCAGGGCAACCAUUGUAUCUUUAAUGCACUUUUCUGUGCAGUGGAGUUUCUGAAUAAUUUCUAUGGAACUUUGAUACAAUGGGAUUUCUAUCUUUGCUUUUGGUAAUUUGUCAGACCUGCAACAAUGGAUUAGUAACAAAUUCUUUGAAAUGAAAAAUAUGUUCUUCUGGAAUGCAAAAUGAAUAGAGGUAGGCCAGUGGGGACUACGUUGCUCACAGACGGCCUUUGUUUAUCCCUCUCCUGUUCUUCGUUCUGUCCAGAACCACAAGUCUCCUGCUUCACCAGCCCAACCUAAGACUCGCCCCCAGCUCUGACGCUGUCUAAUAAUUGUCAAUCUUUGUAGCUCUCUUACAACUUUGAGAUCCUACUGAGGACAAACUCAUUUAAGUUUCAGGAUUAAUAAGAAAUUGCACAUAUGGCCUGUAAUCCCAGCACUUUGGGAGGCUGAGGCAUGCCGGUUACGAGGUCAGGAGUUCAAGACCAGCCUGGCCAACAUGGUGAAACCCCGUCUCUACUAAAAAUACAAAAAUUAGCUGGGCAUGGUGGCAGGCGCCUAUAAUCCCAGCUACUCAGGAGGCUGAGGUAGGAGAAUUACUUGAACCUGGGAGGCAUAGGUUGCAAUGAGCCCAGAUUGAGCCAUUGCACUCCAGCCUGGGCAAGACUCUGUCUCAAAAAAAAAGAAAAAAAAGAAAUUACACAUAUGGGAGAAGAGGCCAUAAAACAUGAGUAUAUCAGUAAUAAUGCCCAGUGAUCUUGUUAUGUGUUUAAUUAAGCCCCAUAGCUUUGUGUCUGAGCCUUGAUUUCAACAAACAUUCAUUGGUACUGACCCCGUGUCAGAUAUUAGGUAAGCAUGUGUGAUACAAAGAUGACUUUGAGGAGUUUCUUGUGACUUUAUGUAAAAUGUCUUCACUACAUUUUGAUUUGGUAGACCAGGUUUCUCAUAAGUCAAGCUUACUCAUCAGCACCGGAUUUCUCUUUAAUCAUAAUCAAGGUAUUUUAAAGAUUCGUCUGUAGAUUCAUGAGCCUGCUCUCACAUAUGUUAUUCAAGUCACCAGUUAAAUAGGAUCUAGGACUCAAAGUUUAGGAAAUCUUUAAUCUUCUUUGUUGAUAUUUAACAAUUAACUACUAACCUUUGGAUAUGACCAGAUUUUUUUCCUCCUCCUAGAAUUUUUCAAAAUAAAGAAUUAAUUACUGGCCGGGCACAGUGGCUCAUGCCUAUAAUCCCAGCACUUUGGGAGGCCGAGGUGGGUGGAUCACCUGAGGUCAAGAGUUUGAGACAAGCCUGGCCAACAUGGCGAAACCCCAUCUCUACUAAAAAUACAAAAAAAAUUAGCCAGGCAUGGUGGCAGGUGCCUGUAAUCCCAGCUACUUGGGAGGCUGAGGCAGGAAAAUUACUUGAACCCAGGAGGCGGAGGUUGCAGUGAGCUGAGACCAUGCCAUUGCACUCCAGCCUGGAUGACAGAGCAAGACUCUGUCUCAAAAAAUAAUAAUAAUAUUUUUUUGAUAUUAGAGCACAUAGAGAAGCCAAGAACUUGAAGAAAGCUCAAAAGAAUUUCAACCCAUCAUUUGUCAUUGAAGACUCAUAAGCAUGGCCUUCAUCAGCUGUGCACCUGCCUUCAGCAAGAACAUGCAAACCACAGCCGAUCUCUACUGGUGAGGCUGUUACUUGGAAACACAAGUUUCCUCAAGCUGUUCCUUCUCCCCACCCUCAGUUACAUGCACUUCUUCUCUUUUGACAUUGCUGCCACUCUUCUUUAGAAGGAAAUUAGAUCAGCUUAGAUGAUUUUUCUCUUUCACCUUCUAAUUGUUACCGAAUCCUACUUCUUUGAGGUGGUUUCAGAGUGAAUGACAGUGCGUUCUUCUUCUGGUCCUGGGUGUGGGCAGGAGAAUAAGAAGGAGGAAUGCACUGAAGGUCACCGCUCCAUUUCCUCUAGAGUCUCUAAGGGACAUUAAGAAUUGGAUCGUCAAUGAAGACGAUGGCUAAAUGUAAAAACUUAUCUUAGCUGCACAUAAGAGGAAAAUACACCAUGAGGACUAACCUAAAGUAAAAUUGUAAAAGAAACACAUAAAAGAUAAGUUUGUAUCAUUUUGCUUUUCAUCUCUUCCCUUUCUUUGUGCCCUUGUGAGCUCUCCAUCACACCUGCCUGUUCCUCAUUUCCAGCCCGCGUGGGGGAUCCUUGGGCUCAGCCCAUCCAGAUCUGAUCAUGCUGAAUCCACCCGUCUUUCACUGCAUCCCUUCCCUCUGAGCUCUCCAAGCUUUGGAGAGAGAUAGGUUACUCCUCUGAUACUGAUCAGCAUUGCUAGGCUGGUAGAAGUCUGGAGGAUAAGCUUAGUGUCAGUCCUUCAGAGUAGUUGGGGUCUGCAUUUUAAUGGAGGCUCCUGUCUCAUCAUUCAGAGCAGUCCUGCUGGUGUUUUCUACUUGAUGAGGAAGGGUGAUGGCCCUCUCUGCAGGCCUGCUGGAGGUAUUUAAAGGUGAACAGGAUUCGGAUGGAGAACCUUGAACAGCACCAUACAUACGAACCCCCUCUCCCCUCCCUCCUUCCCCAGCUUGGAAAGGCAGACCCUCUCCCUACCUGGUACUGAACAUUCCACUCUUUUCACUAGCAGUGCAGUCUCUCUCAGUUGGCCUGUACCCCCAAAGCAAAGACUUGGCAGAGGGCUUAUUGUCUCUGAGUGUUAAAAGUACAUUGCACUAUAAACGUCUGUGCUCUCUGUCCGAAGUCUUAAAAGGAGUUUAUCAUGUACUGCAUCUGGACACGAGUGCAGUUUUUCCAGAGCUGCAUGCUCAGGCAUUUGUGCAGACAGAGGGAGAUCCUCUUGUGCUCAGCCUUCCUCUCCCUGGCAUUGGUGUGGAGGGCUGCUCUCUGAGCAAGAGCUUCUAUUUGACUCAAUUCCGCCAAUGUUCACCAGGUGCCUCUUCUGUGCAAGGCAGCUGCCAGGGGCUGCUACAGGUGGGUGAGAUGCAUAGCCAAGUAUCAAGGCACACCGCCCGCCCUCUCCAGCAGGCAGGAGCAUGCGUGGAAACUUGCAGCGGGCCCCUACACAGGGGCCAUGGUUCACCUCACCAGGGUGCUGGCUGAGUGGAGGCUGAGCUCGUGCUGCUGGAAGGAGGCCAUGGUGUUAACAGUGCACCAUCGAUGCUCUUUGCCAGAAUGUGGUGGGACCUGGCAAGGACAGAUAUGAGUCCAGACUCACCUCUUACCCAGAGCCCCGGGACCGCACAGCCAGGGGCAGCGCCCAGUGCCAUGGCAGCCUGCACUUGACCUUGCCGUGCAGGUUGGAGGUUGGCUGCUGGCUGUUUCUGGGCCCUUCUGCUGCUCUCCCUACACAGGACACUCGGUUUGCUCAGUAGCAGUGGGCAGCUUUGUGAAGUCUUCUCAUCCUCUUGGAAGCAGGGCUGAGCUGCCCUGAGAGAAUUCCAGGGCCAGCGGAUAUGCAGGGUGGGGGCCAGUCCUCCUCGCAUGCACCCAUGUGGCCACCUCCCCAGCCCCAAGGUGCAGAGUCACUGUCCAGCUGCCAGUGAGGGAGGCAGUGAGUGCCCUCAGCCCCAUCCCCAGGCCAGUGGCCUUCAUCUAAAGUGUCCAGAGGGCUAGACUCACACAUGGCCUUGUAGAAGCUAAAUCUCCCUCCAGCUUGAAACCACCAUGCUGCCAACUUCCACCAGUCCCCCAGAGGAAAUAAUAGUCCUCUUGAUUUCAUUUAUGCUUUACUUUUAAUUUUGAAAUAGUUAUGGCUACACAGGAAGUUGUACACAUAGCACAGAAAGGUCCUAGGUACCCUUCGCCAGCUUUUUCCAAAUGGCUCCCUCUUGCGUAACUAGAGUACAGUACCAAAACCAGGAAACUGACUUUGUUACAGUGCAUGCAUGUAGUUCUAUUUAUCACAGGUAGGUUUGUGCAAUUAGCACCUCAACUCUUGAUUUCAUCUUAAGUCUGUGUGGCUUGGUCCUUACCAAAGCAGAACCCCAGGAAACCAAAAAAUUCAUUGGUUUUGAUAUCACCAUAUCAGUAACCAAAUUUGGUGAUUCUAGGUUGAUUUGCUGCUCCCAGAUCCAUAGAUUGGUCAACAUGAAUGAACCUAAAAAGAUAUGUCAGUCACACGGAACCCUGACUCAGCCAAACUCCCACUUGUCAAUCAUGAACUCAUGAAUGAAACUGUGUUCCCCAGAUAGAAGAAGGUAUCUACUCAUAUUGCUUCUGUGUUGCUGAUAGAAUUACUUUUUCUGAUCUGGCUUUCCCAAGGCAAUUACAAAACCUAUUUACUCCAUUAUAAGUUGAAAUCAACACUAUUACUAUGAACUCAUAAUACUAUAUUUUUUCGAAUCAGAAAAAAAUUAAUCAGUAAACCUGUGGAUUAAAUACAAUUUUUAGAAUGAUAAAUAUAAUGAGAAACAACCAAAAGCAUCAGUUCAAUAAAUGCAUCCACUGAAAUGGUGGCUUAUUUAAGAGACAUGUUCCUGCACUUGUCUUCUUCUUUUUUGGGGGGGAUGGACUCUUGCUCUGUCACGCAGGCUGUACUGCAGUGUCAUAAUCUCGACUCACUGCAACCUGCACCUGCUGGGUUCUAGCGAUUCUCCUGCCUCGACCCCCAGAGCAGCUGGGAUUACAGGUGUGUGCCAUCAUGCCUGGCUAGUUUUUGUAUUUUUAGUAGAGACAGAAUUUCACCAUGUUGGCCAGUCUGGUCUUGAACCCCUGACCUCAGAUGAUCCACGCAUCUCAGCCUCCCAAAGUCCCGGGAUUACAGGCGUGAGCCACCACACCCAGCCCAUUUAUCUUCUUGAAGUAGAUGGGAUGAUCACUGGAAAUGACCUGGCUCUGUUUGAAGGUUAUAUAGAAAAAAGUAAUGGAGUUGAGCAUUGUAUCAGUGCUAUAAGGAAACUUCUUAAGCUUGAUGAAUGGAUGAAGCUUAAUGGUUAUUUUUAAUAAUUAUAGUCACUACUUACAGGUCAUUGAGAUAAAUCACGUAAUGCUGAACUUUGCAGUCUUAGAAGGAAAAGAAAUUAUCUCCUUUCCCAGAAAUUAUCGAGUAUUUUUUUUCAGUGCAUGUGUAAAAAGCCAUUAACUUUUCUCUUUUCCUUAAAUAUCUAACUAUACCAGGUGACUGUGCUUAAAUGGAAGUGCUUUCCAUUGACUAAAAUCCCAUCAGAAGAGCCUCGAGCCCCGUCGAGGUGAAAGCUAACCAGUUGGAAAGUAGAUGCCAUCAGACUGAUGGUAGUUGAUAAGUACGUAGAAGUCAAGAAGCCCUGGAGACCGUAGUGGACUCUUAAUGCUGUCUUCAUUGACUCAAUGCUUAAAUCAGUCCUAGAGACAAUUUGCUUAGUUAUCAGAGUAGCAGAAUGAUUUACUGUUUCAAAUGAAACCCAAGUGAAAUAAUACAGUUGACUCUCAUUUUAAAUGAUUCUGCUCUAAAUGUUGAGAUCUAGCUUCUCAUAGCCUAAGCAUCCCAUGACCAAAUGCCCGAAAAUUAAGAUUCAUCUCUGAAGGCAGUGUAGUCAUAUGAGAAUAAGCUUCACACACUUACAUUUACUGAGUAAAGUGUUACAAAAAUGUGUUCACUUGGAUAAAAAAUCACAAGAAAUCCAGGAUGCAGAAGACUUAUCAGGUUAAUAGGGUGAUAUUAUUGGUCACUUUUGCUGUUCUCAUUUUAAAUUAUCUAAUGCUAUUCUGUAUUUUCGGAUAAGAAGAAAGAGGAAAACAGGUAGUUGGAUGCUGAUUUCUCUCAUUGGUGCUACGUGUAUCAUAGAUAUUCAGUAGUGGAAGCUGAAGGAAGACGUAACAAUAAAAACGAGACAUGUCAAUAGCGCGUAACAAUAAAAACGGGACAUGUCAAUAGCGCAUAACAAUAAAAACGGGACAUGUCAAUAGCGCGUAACAAUAAAAACGGGACAUGUCAAGAGCCUGGGCUGCAGGGGCACAGGUGAAGCUGGAAACCAUCAUUCUCAGCAAACUAACACAGAACAGAAAACCAAACACCACAUGUUCUCACUCAUAAGUGGGAGCUGAACAAUGUGAACACAUGGACACAAGGAAGGGAACAUCACACACCGGGGCCUGUUGGAGGGUUAGGGGGUAGGGGAGGGACAGCGUUAGGAGAACUACCUAAUGUAGAUGAUGGGUUGAUGGGUGCAGCAAACCAGCAUGGCACGUGUAUACCUAUGUAACAAACCUGCAUAUUCUGCACAUGUAUCUUAGAACUUGAAGUAUGAUAUUAAUAAAAUAAAUAAAUAAAUAUCCAUUUUCAUCUAAAAAAAAAAUAAAAGAGCCCAGGAGAUACUGCACAUGGGCUUCAUGCUUUCUUAAGGAAAUAAGACAUGUGUAGAAUUGCUUUUAUGCACCUUGUGAUGAAGCUAUUUCCCCUGGCCCCAUCUUUAACCGAUUGGGCCUCUCAACUCCCACCUCAAAGUUUAGUCCUCCCUGAGACCGGGGGACACCCUGGCCUCCUGGGAGAGGAACCUGGAGGACCCCCGUAGUAGGCACCAUGACAGCCACACUAAGGAGCUUGCUGCUCUGGACUUCCUAGCGUACUUGUCAAGGGGCGGGUUUCUGGGCCUUCCGCAGUUCUCCUGUAACCGAAGCCCUUCUGGUCUCCUGGUUCCCACAACAACGAAGUUUUCUUUCAGCCCCUAGUAGCUGGGUCCCCCUUCCCUGGACCUAGUCUCUUUAGAAUGAGGUCUCAGAUACGAGCCUCUAGCAUCAGGACAAACAGCCAUCCUCCAAAUCCAGUUCUGUCCUCACCCAUCACCUCCCUCCUAAGCCAGCAUGAGUCACAGAUGCAGAUCCUUAACCCUCUCUCACUUUUCGUCACCUUGUCCCUCGCAUUCAGAUCUGUUCAAGUUCACCCUCAGAAGAGCUGGCCUUGGUAUUAUUCUGUUUUCAAACCUCGCCUUCUUUACUCUUUGUUCCCGUAACCCCUGUUGCUCCCCAAAAUAAAACUUUACCCCAGCUGGGCACGGUGGCUCACACCUGUAAACCCAGCACUUUGGGAGGCCGAGGUGAGCAGAUCACCUGUGGUCGGGAGUUCGAGACCAGCCUAACCAACAUGGAGAAAUGCCGUCUCUACUAAAAAUACAAAAUUAGCUAGGUGUGGUGGUACAUGCCUGUAAUCCCAGCUACUCGGGAGGCUGUGGCAGGAGAAUCGCUUGAACCCAGAAGGCGGAGAUUGUGGUGAGCUGAGAUCGCACCAUUGCACUCCAGCCUGGGUAACAAAUAGCAAAACUCCGUCUCAUAAAAAAAAAAAAAAAAAAAACACUUUUCAGAAUUCCCGUCCCAGCCUUAUAUGGUCUGACCCUGUCCUGCAGCUCAGGCCCGGUUUGUUUCUCAAGAUCGUGACCACGUUCACCAUCCAGCACCUGUGUGUGUAACCUGCCUAACAAGUCCUUGCCCAAUUAAAUAAAUACACAUCUUUCAUUUGCGGAAACCUCAAGAAAGCAAGGCAUCUGGGGAUUGUUUUUUCACUUUUUCAUUGAUUCUCUCAUUCAUUUAGUCAUUCGUUCUUUCAAUCGUUUAUUUACAGUUCUGAGAUACUAGUUCCACCAGGAAAUAUACUAGAUAAUAAGAUUACAAAGAAAUAGAUUUCUGCUUUUGAGAAUCAUAGUUCCUGGGGUCCUUAAAAUACAGAUGUUAUGGGUGGUUGCACCAGAAUAAACCAAACGUGGCCAAAGCAAUCAGGGAAGCUCCACAGACUCCCACGUGGAUCCUAGCAAGAGGCAGGGAGCAAAGAUCGGCUCAGGAACUUGUAAGAGGAGCAAGCUCUGCAGCCUCUGAAGAAGCUCAGGGAACCCCGGGGCUGGGCCUGGAGCCAGCCGGCAGACGGGACGGCUCCUGGCUGGUGGGGAAGUGGAAUCUCGUUCUUUGAGUCAUGACUAUUGGGAUUUGGAUUGUUACACAGCCACCAACUUGUUGUAGACUUUAAUGAUUCCCAAAACGCUGGCACAUCGUUUAUCUCUGUAAAACCCUCUCAGGAAGGCAUUCUAUUUGUCACCAUUUUAUAGAGGAGGGAACAAAAGGUCAGGAAAGUUAAAUAAUUUCCCCGAGAUGGCCCCGCUUUCGGUGAUGGAUCUGGGACAUAAGCCCACCUCCCAUGCUCAUUGUAAAGUGGUGCUUUCCCCGCCUUCCCAUGAGGUGUCUGGGGGGAAUGUCAUGCUUCAGUUAAAAACAGCAGCAGCAAGGCCCGUACAGCGUGGUCAGGUGGAAAAUCACCUCCUAGAAGAAUUCCAACUUCGGGUUCCCUUAUGUAGCAGCUCAGUUUGUUUACCUCCUUGCCCACAUCUACCUCCAAAAAUUUAUCUUUAAUCAAUUUUUUUUAAAAAAAGCAAAAAGGGCUUUUUCAAAAAAAAAAAAAUGUAUCUUAAGCCCAAAUGGGAAUAUCUAAUCACAGUCUGAGAAUGCAAUAGCUUAAGAGGCAGCCACAUUUGUGUUUCUAGAAACCAGUCUGUCAUUUCCAUGAGUCCCCAAAAAGGAAACUCGUAAACAUCUGCCUUCCCAGUGAGUGGAACUUGUCCUUGUCCUGACCAGAGAAAUGGAAACUGUGGUAAGAGUGGUUCUGUGGAGGCCAGAUGGGCAUUCCUCUGAGAGCCCAGAGGAAGGCAGGUUCAUGUAUGACCCCAAAAUUCUUAUGCCUAGCAGUAUUAAUGAAACCAUAUCUAAUGUUAUGGAAAAUCAUCAUAUCAUCAACAUAGAUUUUUUUUUUUUUUUUUGGAGACAGUCUUGCAGUGUCGCCAGGCUGGAGUGCAGUGGCAUGAUCUCAGCUCACUGCAACCUCCUCCUCCCGAGUUCAAGCGAUUCCCCUGCUUUAUCCUCCGAAGUAGCUGGGAUUACAGGCAUGCGCCACCAUGCUCAGCUAAUUUUUUGUAUUUUAGUAGAGAUGAGAUUUCACCCUCUUGGCCAGGAUGGUCUCAAGCUCUUGACCUCAUGGUCUGCUUGCCUGGCCUCCCAAAGUGCUGGGAUUACAGGCGUAAGCCACCACACCAGGCCCAUGGAUACUAUUUUCAAAGCCUAGAACGGGAAAAAGCUGCACCACCUUAGUUUAAUUGGAAGUAAUGAUACUAACUUCCAGCCCCCAUAGCUGCAUGCGCCAGGGAGGCCAGGAGGAUGGCAAGUAAGAGUCAGGUGGCCUUGCGUCUCCCUGUUUACUCUACAGAGUCACAUGUCAUUGUUUCCUCCUCGUGUAGAACUAUCAUCUCACAACAUUAAAAGGUGGAAAGAGUUUCAUCUUGGUUGUGUAGUUAUUUUGGGCAGAGAGUUAAUGACAAACCUUGUAUUACCAAUUCACCAGGAAUUUCAGUCCAAGCCACAUGUGCUCGAUGUGAUGACCUGAUGGGAAGUUGGCUCUGUUGACUGUGAGACAUGGGCAGUUGUUAGCACAUCAGACAUGUCCCUCCCAACUAGGUGUCCCUUCUGGAGGUUUGUUCCAUACUCCUCCAGCGUGAAUUUACUAACAAUAGCCGCACAUUUCAUCAGGCUCAUUUUUAUCCUAUUGUUUCCCUAUCAUUUAUUAUACUGUCUGUUAUGCACCAGAGCCUCUCUUUUUGGCCAAGGGUGCCUCCACUUCCAUUUGAUUUCAUGGGGGUCAUUCCUUGAGAGUUGUUUCAAACCAUUUUUCUGGGCUUGGAAUGUGCUGUUUUAUCAUAUUUGCAGCAUUCAGAGGCUUUAGCCAGAGAAUUUUUUACUAAUAGAAAUAAAACCACUUCUAUGACUGUUUUGGUAAUGUUGUCCUGUGCAGACCUCUUUCCACUGCAGACUUACACGGAAUAGAUUAGGUACACUCACAUUCUUAUUCCCAUCAAGCUACUGCAGAAUUUUGUCACCUUGGCUUUCAGCAGGAGAGUCUGCAUACAGUGACAAGGACAUGGGUGUGUGUGCAAAUGUGUGUCUGUGUUAGGGGGAAACGUGGGCCUGAGCCUUGGCUGAACCCUCACAGCAAGGCCAGCCUUCCCGCAGAUCAUAAUGAAUGGAACUGCAGGAGCUGUCUCCACCAGAGUGAGAUAUUCUUCUCCCAGACUAAUGUUUUCUGCACCAGUUGGCAGAUUUUUUUUUUUCCUAAGAUCAACCCAUCUGCCACUUUCAUUCUGCAGUAACCUGGCAACUUGCAGUCCAGAUCGUCCUUUUUCAUCUUGACCCCUGGCCUGGGAAUGCUUCAAUUUAGUGAUACUCCUUUAAAGGAUUGUCUGGUCUCUUGGGUAGGUCAGUGCUAUUAUUCACUCAUAUCACGAGGGCUUGGUGUUCUUGAAUAGAUGGUGGCAGUAUGACCAUAAUUCCUAAUGUGUCCAGUCAAUUGUCAUGGGCUAAAACCCUUCACAGAAACAAUGUGUCAGAUAUGGCUGCGGAGUCUGCGAAAGAUGCAUUAUGAUUUAGCUCAUCCUUCAUAAUACUUAUUUUCUUUAUCCUUAUUGCCAGGUCCCCGGGAGUCUAGAAACGAAGGGAUUUGUUUCCAGCUGACACCACAGUCUUAGUCCUCGUGGGCCUUAUAUUCUAUUGGAAGGGAAAAUUGAUAAAUACCAAGAUCAUUUUGUGGCAGAAGUUUAAAUCAUCGGAACUAUGUAUGUAGACGCAGUCUAGGUCGUGUUUAUUUUCCUUUGUUUUUUAGAUUUACAUCAUAUUUCCAAUCUGACAAAUUGAACGGCUCCUGCACUGCUGUGAUUUCAGCCUCAUAGGCCAAUCUCUUCGGGUGAUUGUUUUGUCUAUUUUUAAAAAUCUCGACACAGAACAUUUAUUUUUCUUCCUAGUAAACAAUGUUGUUGUUUACUGCUAUGUUAGAAAAGUCUUAUCAAAUUUUAAGAUAACCUGUCCUUUGUUAGAGUUUGAGUCCAUUACCCUAAGAGAUUACCUCAUUUUCUACAGCAAACAAAAGAUCAGUGGCCUCUUUAAAAAUAGCAUUUUCCAUAUUGGGAGAAGGAAAUCAUGUCUGGGUCGGCUUCUUUGACAUAACAAAAACUGUUUCCCUGAUCCACACUCAAUGUGGUCAACACCCUCUCCUACAAAAACGGCACAGGGGCAAGGAUGACCGUUUUCAGCCCACUUCUAAUGGAGACCAAUCUCUUUCCGGCAUAUUUCAUUCAAAUGAUAGAGAAUUCUCUUCUGUCAUUUGCUUUUACAGAUAGAACAUUGAAAGUCUUGACUUGCUAUUAUUUUCUUUAAGGUUAACGAAAACAUAACUUCUGCUGGAAUAACAUUGACUCUCUCGGGUCUCUUAAUACCCAGACUGGUUGCUUCUGCAAACAGCUUUGCUGUGUAAUUAGGGUAAAGCAUUUUGGUUAAAUUGCCUCUCUACACCCAGAACUCUAUCUUAGACCAACCUUUGUAAGGGAAUUGAAUCUGCUGGGUUUGAAAAUUAGAAUACUAAGCACAAGUGGGUGCAUUUCUUCAAUGGGCUUUACACUGGUCUCGGAUUAACUUGAAACAACAACUCCAUGUGGCGAUCUCGGAGACAGUCACACUGCAUGAUGCCUCACAUCCUGUGAUGGUCGAGUUAGUGCAAAGCAUAAGGAACGCCCAUCUCCACAGCUUUGUGUCGUUUUUAGUAGCCACUGCAUCUGGAGUGUCAUCACUAGAGAGUGAAGAGUUCAAGUUCCUACCCUUUAAAAUCUUCCCUUAAAACACAAUUUUAUAAAAAUGUUCAUGGGUAAAGAAUAUGCCUCUCAAUGAUGCAUAUGUCUUCAGAAAUGUAUUAGAGGAAUCAUAAGGAAGGUAGAGGAUUGGUAUCCCGGCAAGAGCAUGAAUUCAGGAGCCCACAGGCAGAACCUUGCUUGCAAAUGCACCUUUUUGAGCCCAUGCAGGGUUCAGCUGCACAGUAGAAUAAAAUACAGAUUUGUGGCCCCCCCCCCGCUCUCUCUCUCUCUCUCUCUUUAAGGAAGCUCUUGGUACACUAGAUGGGCAUUCUCAUAUGAAGAAAAAAAUCAGCUAAACAUUAAAGGCUGACCCAUCCUUUAAACAGCACAGGUGCUUCCAAUCUGCCACCAUCCCCACCUGGCUGCCCCCUACUCCCCAGGUUCCCUCUGGCUCUAAAACCCUCUAGUUUCUUACCUCACUUUUUGAGGCUCUGUGAUUCUUUGUAAUCUCAGAAUGGAUAGUUUUCUCUCUGUGAGGAUGAAUUAACAGCUAAUAGUAGGACUACGUGAUUUUUCUCAAGCACUGCCGAGAAGGUUCUGGAAGGUAGUGUUGCCCAGGAACAGGAGCUGAAAAAGUAUUCUGGUAUUCUUCUAAUUAAAAAAAAAAAAAAAAUUCUUUGGAUACCGAAGUGUUUCUGUGAUGUUGUCAUAGAGUUAUAACACCCAAGAACUGUGAAGCUGUGUUCUAUUCUUGGCUCUGGUCAGUUCUGCAUGGACACGGUGUUUAAUUGAGGGCAAAAAAAUAUAAAAAUAAUCAUAAGUAGGAUGUAGAUACAUUGGAAAUGAUUCAACUGAGAGUGACAAAAGUUAUUAAAAUGAUUAAGGAAUUGCAAAAUUGAUCUGCGGGGAUCGGCUUGUGAAAUUGGAUUUAUGAAGUCUGAGGAAAAGAGAUCGGAGGGCGGGUUUAUUCAGUGUAUUAAGAGACACGAUAUGGAGGAAGCUGACCCAUGUCUUCUUGCUCUUCUGAGGACAGAGCAAAUGGAAUUGAUCUUACAGGGAGAAUUUGUUACCAUGUGUAAUGGAAGCAUAAGGACUGUCCCUCAGGAAAAGCAUUUCUGAGGUUAAAAAAACAAGAAAAUACUCGGAACUAUUCUCCUUGAGACAGGUUUUUAAAAGCCAGACGAGAGCCAACAAGGAAUUUUAUAUCUUGGUCUGCCUAAAGGCAGGGGUUUGUGUCAGGUGACCUUUGAGGGCAUUUUCCAUUCCUCUGAGUCUGUAGAAUUACGGAAGGUCUUGAAUCUGAUUUUAGUGAAUUCAAAAGCAAGUACACAUCAGCUCCUAACCAUCAGAGACGAAAGUACAAGGACACGCACAUUUUUUUUGCUAUUGAAUUAACACCUGGAGUCUCAGAUAUUCAUGCAAUCAUUCCUUUUGUAGUCUGUGAUUGCAAACUAACAGUUAUUAGUCCGCUGCGGCACUUUAACAAAGGGUACGGCUUUUAUGCCUCACAUGUGCAAUACUUCUAUUAGCAAAGUGUUUCCAUGGCUACGUUUGAUCCAAAAUUUCACUACCAAAAAUAAGAAUACAGAAAGGCAUUCCCAUGUGUCAGCAAAGGUAGGUCAUUUAUUUCAUCUACUCUUAGGUAUUGGGCACCUAUUGUAAACCCGGAGCUGUAUUUUGCACUGAGCAUACAAAGGUGGAAAAGUAAAUCAAGGAGCUUAUUUGGAUGGUUGGGGCGUGAUUCAGGCUGGACAUGAAAACCUGGCAUGAAAAUAUAGUUUACUGAAUGUUUAAGGAGUUGCAGUAAGGGUAGAAAAAUGUGAAAUACCACCUAAAAUGGGAUUAAAUAGACAGAAAACAUCAAUGGUGCAUGAUACCAUCAGGAGCAGAGAGGAGUCAAGAUAUAGAGGAGGCAGAGGAAGGAGGGUGGGGGAAGGGAUGUGAAAGAAGAGAGCAUCCCUUCCUGACACAGCUGUGUGCUGGGCCGAGAGGAAAGCUUGGUGUGUACCCCAGCAGCUCUCUGGAACUUCCCUGACCAGUGGAAUGCUAGUCAGCAGAGGAGAUUGCAGAUUGGAAGCGGCGGUUCCCCCACCCCAUAGCCACCUUUGAGGAUUAAAUCAGGCUAUGGACAGGCACACCAGUACAUAGUGUGGUUUAAUAACCUACCCAAGUAAUUGUGUCAAAAUUGAGGGCUGAUGCCCCAAAUUCACUUGAUCCUGAUCCACAGAGAUGGACAGUGUUACCAAUGCCACACUGGAAAGAAACCUUGACAAGAAGUCACUCACACCUAAGCAGAUCAUCUUCUUAGCCCCACGGAAUCUUAGGUUGAAAAGGAACUUAAAGGCCAGUCAUCAAGCCUCUUUCCCGUUACUAGAAUGGGUUCCACACACCCCCCUUCCUCGGCAGGUGUCCAACUUAAGUGGCAAAAGUUCAGAUCUUUCUGGAAGAUCAUUUAGGAAGAAAUGUGAUUUUAAGAGAGGAAUUAAAAAAAAAGUUAUCUCUUAUGUGAGGCUAAAAACUACCUCCCUGAAACGUGUGCUCAUGGCCUGAGACCCACUCCUGGGAGCUGCUUCGUGUGGCUGAGCAGACUCUCUGGGGUCUCUUCUCUGGAGGCCCCUCCUCAGCCAACUGUGAGGCUGCUCCCGGCUCCAUGGCUGCCCUGCCCAGAUGGUUCCAGCUUGUCAAUGUCUUGUAGAAGGUGGCUCCACAAACUGACUUCUCUGUGCUGCGGACCACUGGCCCAGCCUACAACUGAGCAAGCUUUUUGGGGCAGCCAUAUCACAUUUCUCUAUAAAGAAUGAAAUGUGUAAUACAUUAAUACUGUUCUCUUACAGUUAGCGUUAUUGAGCACUAGCUGUGUGCCUCUCGGUAAGCCCCGUCAGGUCCCCCAGCCCCCGCCACUCCUGGGCCCCACCCCCCCACAUCGUACUCCUUUCUGCACUUGUCGCACUAGCCUGGGACCCUGUUUGACUGGCCCAGAGCAGUCCUUCAAUCAGCAUUUGUUGAUGAAUUCAUUAAAUAGGCAACAAACUUUUCAGCCUUUAUUGGGUUUGCAGCAUAUGUAAAUGAAAGUUACACAGUGUUCGAUCUGUUCCUGUUUAUCCCUACAACUCCUGACUUGUAACAUGACUCCGUCAGUAUCUGCCUGGGAAACACUGGGUUCUCCCCUUUUUCCCAACCCUGCACACUGGAGACUUCCGACCUGCUUCUGCUGGAAACCCUGCAAGGACACUCAAGGUUGGGAAAAGUCUGUGCCUGGCAGGGAGUGGUCCCCACACUGAUCCCCUGGGGCUCUUCCUCAGGAAGCCAGGCUUUGCCCAGCUCUGAGGAGCAGAUAACGCUGUGUUCAUGCCCUUAAGUCACCCUCAUUAGAUUUCUUAUGGUCACGUUCAGCCUGUCCUUCCAGCCUUGGAGACCUUCUGGGAUCUUUCUUUAAGCCUCUAAGUUAUUGAAUGUCUUAUAGUUUUUUGAUCUGUAACUAUAAAAAGUCACAUCUUCUGUCUCUACACCUGUGUCAUUGGUAUAGCUCUUUAAAUAUAUGAAUAGCCUGCCUCAUGUAACAAGAACAGAGCUAACACUAUCAUAAUAAACUGGAAGUCAAGGCUGGAAAUCCAGAUCAUGGAUACAGCAAAGAAUUAGGUUGAUCACAGAGGUUCUUCAAUGUUUUCCUCCAGCCUAGGGUGUCUCAGUGAUCAAGGCUGAAGGGGACUCUGGCAGGGACAUAAUCAUCAUUAUCAGAACAGAAGCCUAUGGAUUCCUGGGGGAAGAAGGCUUUUCUCACAGUGGAUCCUAAAAGAAUUGUCACAUUGGACUUGGUGUUGCGGCCACCCUGUGGUGCAGUGAAUGACGUUCACAACCUUUCUUAAAACAGCAACCUCAGACUGGACUGCUUCUGGUUAUGACCUUCAUAAAAGCAUAGAGGCUCUGGAAGCAGGGCCCUGGGGCCGAGCAUUUGCCUUAGAACCCAGCUAGACUAGGCCACCCCGUAGCUCCCUGACUCCAUCCCCUCACCUCCAUAAGCCUCUGUGAAGUGGGGGUAAUUAAUAAGUCUCUACCUCCUGGGGCCGUAGCAGCCAUUAAAUGAGUUGAAACAUGUAAAAGGCUUACUGCAGUGGUAGCAAAGCUUAUUUAGGAUAAAAAUAGUACUUACCCCAUAUUUGUUGUGAGAAUGACCUGAAUAAUCCACAGAAAGAACACAGUGACUAGCAAAUGAAAGUUCAUGCGUGUUGGCCAUCGUCUAAAAGACUUUUCUAUAACUUAUUCAGAAAAGAUUAAAAUAUUCGGAAUGACAGCCAUGAAUUCAUGCAGACCCCGUGGUGCAGCAGCAGCCCCUCCCGUUCUGCUUUCUUACAGCCAACCCAGUAUUGCAAGUAGCACCCCGGCCUUCCAGAUCCCAUCUUCCCUUCUCUACUUGGGAGAUCAGUUGCAUUGAUGAUACAUAACUGCUGUUAGCCUUGGGCCAGAAGACACACCCUGAAAGUCACUGCAACGGUUCCUUCAUCAGUCAUAAAAUCAUAAGAUUUCCAACUUGUGGAGAAGUUUCUAUCAGACACGGUGCUUAACAUUGGAUAUGUGUCAUCUAACUCAGUCCUCACCACCAAUGCAUGAAGUUAAGUGCUGUUCUCCUCCUAAAAUUAAAAUGAAAGGGAAGGGUAAAGCAAUUAAGCGACAUCUCAAGAAUCAGGCUUUUUAUCCAGCACCUUCUGCUCCAGAGCACGUACUCAUCACCAUUCCACACCUGCCUAUUCGCCGUAGGGCAUGGGUCAGAGCCACCUCAUGGCCUCACCAACCGACAGUGCUCCACCAGAGUUGGUCCUAGCCGGAAACACUGUGUUCUAACUGCUGUCUUUCCAUAAAUGCACCGGUACUCAAAAGUCCCCCAUUUCUCUCUUUCCUGCUUGUUACUGGCCUCUUCCUUCAGGGUACUCUUGCUACUCUCAUCCCUACCAAUCAAUGCUCAUGAAUGACAGCUCACAGUAUCCCAUUUUUUUUAAUGUUGGAAAAGAUUCUAAAGUCAGGGGAUGUGGCUUAGGAAGAGGAGGGGUGGGAAGGCAAGUAGCUGAGGGCACUGGGAAACUUUGCUGAUUUCCCAGGGUUGGUUAGAAGGGGUACUUUGCCAUCAAUUAUGUUUACUUCUGAAGCUCUCCUUUUCAUAUCACUGGUUUUCUACACAGCCAAACGUGUUCAUGAGCUUAGAGAAAAUCUGUUAUUGACUUGGUUGACAGUUUCUCAAUCUCUUUAUGCCUCAGCAUCCUCAGCUAGAACGUGGGGAUAGGAGUAGUGUUUCUCCCAAAGACUGCAGAUUUAAUCCAUUGACUAAUGAUAAACACGUGCAGUGCAUGGCACAAAACGGACAUUAUUAGCAACAAUGAUGAUCAGGAUAACUCAUUUCAGAGUUGCUUCAUGUGAUCCACAAAAAGCAGUUUUUAACACAACUCAUAAAAAGCUUGUAUGCCCAAGUGAUUCCGUGAUCAAGGUAUUCCUUCUCACAUGGCUGAUAACUAAAACAUGCAGACUUUCUCUCUCAUGUCGCUGACAGCGUUUCCCCAGAACAGCUGCAUCUUAGAAGCAUGAUGUUAUAUCUUUAUAUUAUGGUGUUAUAUCCUAAGCCUCAGGAUGCGGCUGUGGCUGAGGCCAGGCUACCUGAAGGAAACCUCUGUCUGCCCAAACCCUGUCCCUUUGGUUCAUAGACCCACAUAACCCAUGGCCCAAGAAGCCACUGGGCCUUGUACAAAUUUAGAAUGUGAGAUGCUGUAACAAGUGACCAGUUUCUCCAGCAUGUGAGAGACAUGGAGUGCAAAGCAGAAGGGAGACAGUUGCAGAUGACAGAUAAGUCAGAUGACCACUUGAAUACCUGGGCUGGGUUUGAAGCCUGAUUUCUGAUUCUUGGAAACAGACCAACCAUUAAAAAAAGAACAUUCAGCAUUCUGGGAGAAAAUAUUGCAAAAGACCUAUCUGAUAAAGGGACCAUUACCAAAAUAUAUGAAGAACUCUUAAAACUUGACAGUAAGAAAACUAACAACCAGAUUAAAAAUGCACAAAAGGUCUGAACAGAAACCUCACCAAAAAAAGAUAUACAGAUGGCAAAGAAGCAUAUGAAAAGAUGGUCAGCAUCAUAUGUCAUUUGGCAUUUGCAAAUUAAAACAAUGAGAUACCUCUACACACCUACUAAAAUGGCUAAAACCCAAAACAGGGAAACCACCAGAUGCUGGGGAGGAUUUGGAGCUCCAGGAACUCUCAUUCACUGUUGGUGGGAACACAAAAUGGUACAGUCUCUUUGGAAGACAGCGUGGCAGUUUCUUAGAAAACUAAACACAUCGCUAGGCACAGUGGCUCAUGCCUGCAAUCUCACUGCUCUGGGAGGCUGAGGUGGGUGGAUCAUGAGGUCAGGAGUUCAAGACCAGCCUGGGCAAUAUGGUGAAACCCCUGUCUCUCCUAAAAACAGGCAGGUGUGGUGGCAUGCGCCUGUAUUCCUAGCUACUCAGGAGGCUGAGGCAGGAGAAUCACUUGAACCCGGGAGGCAGAGGUUGCAGUGAACCGAGAUUGUACCAUUGCACUGCAGCCUGGGCAAUGAGCAAGACUCAGUCUUAAAAAAAAAAAAAAAAAAACUUAAAAACCAAACAUACUCUUACCAUAUGAUCUACCAAACAUGCUCCUUGGUAUUUACCUGAAUUAGUUGAAAACUUAUGUCUACACCUAAACCUUCGCACAGAUAUCGACAACACUUUAUUAAUAAUUGACAAAUCUUGAAAGCAACCAAGGUGUCCUUCAGCUGAUGAAUGGACAAAUAAAGUGGUACUUCCAGACAAGGGGAAAUUACUCCAUGCUAAAAAGAAAUGCACUAUCGAACCAUGGGCAGACCUGGAGGAACCUUAAGUGCAUAUUACCAGGUGGAAGAUGCCAAUCUGAAAAAACUACAUACUGCUUGGUCCCUGCUAUAUGAUACUAUGGGCACAGUAAAAAGAUCCAUGGUGGCCAGGGGUUUGGGCAGGGAAGGAUGAGUAUGUGGAGCACUGGGAGGUUUUAGGACAAUGGAACUCUUUUGUAUAACGCUGCGGUGGUGGAUAAAUGUUCUUAUAUGUUUAUCCAAACCCACAGAAAGUACAGCACCAAGAGUGAGCCUCAUGUAAACUGAGGACUUUGGGUGAUGUGUCAAUGUACAUUUUGCAUUUAUAACAAAUGUGCCACUCCUGUUGGGAACGUUGAUAUUAGGGGAGGCUGUGUAUCUGUGGGGCAGAGGGUGGAGGGGAGCUCUCUGAACUCUGCUCAAUUUUGUUGUGAAAUAAAACUGUCUUUAAAAAUAAGCUCUAUUUAUUCCCAAUAAAACUUUAUUUACAAAAAAAAAAAUAAGCGCUAUUUAAAAAAAUCAAAAAAUCGAAACGAUGGUUUUGACACAAUUGAGUUUAGAUGAUAGUAAGGAUGCUUAAUUUUUAUUAACAUUUCAGCUGCACCUUAAAGACAAGUGAGAUUUCAUAAGGAAACGUGGUGGAAGAACUUUUGGCAGACACUGCAUGAACAAAAGUGGGGAAGGAGGAGAAUGAGGGCAGCAUUCAGAGGACAACUCAGUGUUCAGUUCAUCUGUCAUCUUGGGAACAGUUGUGGUUUCAAAUAAUUCAUUGUAUUAUUCCUGGACACUAUUUCAGAAAUCAUAGCAUUUUGGCAUCCAAAUUCUACCUUCUCUGAAACCUAGAAGAGAGUAAAAAUUCUUUACCCAUUCAUAGAACUUGGUUCUGAAUAUAUGUUGACCUCAGCCAUAGAGCAGUCAUUUUCAAGGUUAAUUGCACCUAAGAAUUGUCAAGGGAACAGAACAUUUACGAAACAUGCAGAAACCCCACCACCUCUAACCCAGUCGGUCUGAUGUGAAGCCUGCAAUCUGCAUUUUUCACGAGCAUCUCAGCUAACGUGGAUCCAGGUGGCCCGGGGACUGAAUUUCCCAAAGUCUAACCACAGAGGUAGAUGUAAGAGGUGAGAAGAAAUGUCCCACAUUCUAAAGCCAGUCAGAAGCCACAGGUGACAUGAAUGAGGGAAGCGAGGGGUGGAAACACUGCCCCUAGCUUUCACUUUAAUACUUAGGAGAACUGUGCACUCCACAAAGAAAUACGCUCUUUCUCUUACUUUUAGAAAAACACAAUCCUUUCCUACUUUUGAUAGAGACAUGGAACAGAAAUAUUUCUCUAUAUGUAACAGUCAGUUAAGUGUCAUGACAAAUAUCAACGGAAGGGAAGCAGUGGAGGCCCAGGAUUUCCUCAUCCUUCGCCUUAGCAAGGGAAGUUUAGAAUGUGUCUUUUACGCGUAAUCUCCCAAUCUGUAAAUGUCUUAGAUUCUUUUCAAACACUCUGUGAGCCAAA